ACACCGGCGGCCCGAGUGGUGAUCGUGAUUAUUGGGUCUAAAGGGUCCGUAGCCGGUUUGGUCAGUCCUCCGGGAAAUCUGAUAGCUCAACUAUUAGGCUUUCGGGGGAUACUGCCAGACUUGGAACCGGGAGAGGUAAGAGGUACUACAGGGGUAGGAGUGAAAUCUUGUAAUCCCUGUGGGACCACCUGUGGCGAAGGGGUCUUACCAGAACGGGUUCGACGGUGAGGGACGAAAGCUGGGGGCACGAACCGGAUUAGAUACCCGGGUAGUCCCAGCCGUAAACGAUGCUCGCUAGGUGUCAGGCAUGGCGCGACCGUGUCUGGUGCCGCAGGGAAGCCGUGAAGCGAGCCACCUGGGAAGUACGGCCGCAAGGCUGAAACUUAAAGGAAUUGACGGGG
rnacentral:rRNA from 1 species